rnacentral:lncRNA from 1 species
GGAAGUUCUUAACGCACGUGACAAGCGAUCCAGUAUUAGCAAACGACUGUGAGUUGGCUCCAACGCAGAUAUAGAGACACAUAUGCCAAACUUGAGGCUUCGAGAUUCGUUUUGUGACGGCUAGCCAAAUCAUGAAGUAGCCAAAGAAGUUAAGUACAGCUCCUAUUAUGAGGAUGAACCAAGGAGGAGUCACCUCGUUGAUUAGACCUGCUAGGACUCCAACGUUGGCUCCUAGAUCUUUGAAGAAACUGAGGAGGUUAAGUGUGGUUUGGUCGUAGCCUAAGGUUUUCUUGAUAUCGCCUGAAUAGAGACUGAACAUGUAAGUGGCUCCAGCCGCCGACAUGAUCCAGAGGCUCCCAAAGAACAUAAACCAUCUUCCGGUUAGGAUUUGGAUGGUUA